UCAUCCAUCUUCCUAUCCGAUCAUUCCUCUUCUUUUCGUUUUUUUAUAAGCCCAAACAGUUUCUCACUCUCUCAUAUCGCUCUCUCUCUUCUCUCUCUCUUUUGCUCUUUUCGUUUAUUGAUCGAGAGCUUAGUGAAGAUAAUGGAAAUUUUGAGUAGACGAAAAGGAUUGAGAGGUUUUGAUGGAAGAAAUAUUGAAAGGGAAAAGAAGUAAUUUUCAAAUGAGCCGAGAGAGAGGAGUUGCACGAAACCUUAAGCGUGGAUUUUCAACAAUAAAGUCACGUGAGUGGAAAACUCAGGAAGUCAGCUUCCCCAUGGUGGUGUAUUUCGCCUGCGGAGGUCACUGACGGUGGUCGGAAGACGGCAAGAAGUGCAGCCUGCCCCUGAACUUGAGGAGUCGAUUUGAGUUAUGUCGGCAAAAUUCAGAGAAAUAAAGACCUGCUGCCGCACCUGUUUUCGGAGCAGAAUUUGGAGGGUUAGGAGUGCGGAUUUGAGAAUCAUUCCUUGACGAAACUCGUAGAGAAACUCGAGAGUUGUAAGUAUGUGUUACAUUAUUUCUAAUUCGAGGUUUAUGGUCUCUUCGAAAGGGGAAACAGGGUAGUCCGAGUCUGCCAAUUCUGGCAGUUUCGGCAAUCAGUCUUUCGAAGCUGUUUUUUUAUAUGUUAGGAUAACAUUUUGGGGUCAGUACCUUCUGUUGAAUUGUAGAUGAAGUUUUCAUCUUUCCAUUGGUAUAUGAUAUGACCAAUUUCGAUAACCGUACAAAUUAUUACGAUUUUUCAAAUAAUCUGUACCAGCCAGUGAAUGUUUUCAAAAUCCGAACAGUUCUGUAAUGCUGGUUGAGGCUGUUUCUGCUAUUUUCGGUUCAGAAUUUGGGACUAAAGCCUUCUGUGAACUCGUAGGAUUUUCUGUUAGCUUUCAUUUGUCCGUAUCAUGUGAUCAAUUUGGAUUAGCGUCCUAAUUGUUAUGAUUUUUCAAACAAAGUGUGCCAACAACGAAUUUUCCAAAAACCUGGCAGUUUCAUGUACUCAUCUUCCGGGGCUGUUAUUGCUGUGUUAGGUUGAUAAUUUGGGCUCAGGGUCUUCAGUGAACCUGUAGAUACAGACGUUAGCUUUAAUUUGAUAUAUCGUUUAGGUUAUUUGGAUAAGUGAGGUGAUCGUAACUAUUGUUCGAAUAAGCUGUGGCAGCAAGACAUUCUUAAUAAAUGUUUCAAGAAAUUGACUAUGUGAUAUAGUGGAAUAAUACGGUUAUAUUAGCAUUUAGAAUCUUGUUAAGUGAUGAAUAUUUUUAUAGGUAUCGAGCGUACUAAAGCUCUCAUUCAAGACUUGAGCAUGAAUAGAGAGUAAGGUGUUUUAUAGCACUUGCAUUGGACUUCAGGUGAGGAUCUCUAUUUCUUCACUAUAUUUUCUUUGAAAAACAAAAUACACACUGGGAAUAAGAUAUCCGUUAUUGCUCAUCCUGAUUCUUUGACUACUCAAUCGAGUCCUUUUAUCGAUUCUUGAAUAAUUUGGAGUUUCAGUCGGAUUCUCAAUCAAUUGUGAAUCGUUUCACAUAUUGACUUGUAUAGUAGUUGGAACCACUUCUAUUAUGAUUCAUUAAAUCAUUUGAUUUGUUUCUACAGUGGUUCAAUGAACGUAAGUCGUUCUUUUCCCGACUCUUGUACCAUUUAGGAUUAUUCUAUUUAUCCGUUAAAUCAUUCGUUUCGUACCUACUGGGAAUUGAUGGAUCGUUCAUAUCUUGACUUCUCAUCGAUCCUUUGAAACCACUUGUCUUUCAAGCUAUUCAACUACGGAUUCAAUUUUAACCCUAGACUAUUGUUGAUUGAGAUCCAUCUAUCAUGAAUUGUGGUCACUCUCUUAUUGAAACCAUUGAUCGUACCUUUCUUGACUUGUGAAUUCGUGACCACAUAUUAUUGUCACUUGUUAUUGAAAUCCCAAAACUUACUAUGAUAUUGACUCUUUCCAAAGUGGAAUUCAUUAUUGGAUUCAAAAUGUAAAUUGAGAUAGUCGGAAGCAUCUCCGUAUCUCUAUAUUAUUGAUUCCUUUGGGGACGCCCUAAGGAUAAUUGGCCAGUUGGACCCGGGGCUGUUCGAAAAAGACUGCUGGGCGGUAUUGGGCCGACAGUGGAUGGUCUCUUCGACAGUACCCAUAUUGGAUCUAGACCAUUGGCAUAGUUGGAGGUUAACUGUGCUGAUGGAUAGAUCGGCAUGCGCCCGGGCAUGCAUAUUGAUCGAUUAGCAUGGUCAUUCCCUGAUCGGUGUUAUAAGGUAGUUACGGCUAAUGGAGUCACAAGGGAGGUACAGGUACAUGAACAAAUUGUUACCAUGGGAAUCUCCAUGGUCUCAUAUUUGAUAUCCGAAAUUUUUAUCGUGGGAAUCUCCACGAAAUACAUAAUUGAUAUCCGGGAAUUACCCGUUGAAUAUUGUUCUUUACCAGUACAUAUUGAUUGUAUUGUUUAUUCUGAUCAUACCGAUGUGCCUUAUACUUUGGCCUUUAUACCUUAUCGAACGAUCAUUCUCUAGAUGGUCCAAUUCCAACUCCAAUUCCAAGUUGAACACUUAUAUUGUGAUUUUUAUUUGAUUCGAUUAUUUUGCCCUUGUACUCCUCACUAAGUCCAUUUGGACUUCUCCUCCUUUAUUUUCCUUCUUAUUCUUAGUGGCAGGUGCAUUAGUGGAUGAUUAUGUUGACGACUCUUAGGAGUUGAAGUUAUUUAGAGAUUUUAGAGAGUUUAAUCUAGUGUUGUGUUUAAGAAUUUUGUAAUUCAAGAACUAUGUAUACGAGAUUAGCUGUAAGCUUUGGUUGCCAUGUAUUUGAUUUUAGUAAUGAUAAAUUAAGUUGUAGUCAUUGUAUUUAUUAAUCUAAAAAAAAAAAAACAGUGUA